rnacentral:rRNA from 1 species
GACGAACGCUGGCGGCGCGCUUAACACAUGCAAGUCGAACGGAAAGGCCUGCUUUCCCUUGUGGAUUGCGGGUACUCGAGUGGCGAACGGGUGAGUAACACGUGAGUGAUCUGCCCCCAGCUUGGGUAUAAGCCUGGGAAACUGGGUCUAAUUCCCGAUAGGACUGCAGGGUGGUGCCUGUGGUGGAAAACGAUUUUCUAGUGGUUGGGGAUGAGCUCGCGGCCUAUCAGCUUGUUGGUGGGGUAAUGGCCUACCAAGGCGGCGACGGGUAGCCGGCCUGAGAGGGUGGACGGCCACAUUGGGACUGAGAUACGGCCCAGACUCCUACGGGAGGCAGCAGUGGGGAAUAUUGCACAAUGGGCGGAAGCCUGAUGCAGCGACGCCGCGUGGGGGAUGACGGUCUUCGGGUUGUAAACUCCUUUCGACCGCGAGGAAGCCACCUGGUUGGAAGGGUGGUGACGGUAGUGGUAGAAGAAGCACCGGCUAACUACGUG